AGAGUUUGAUCCUGGCUCAGGAUGAACGCUAGCGGCAGGCCUAAUACAUGCAAGUCGAACGGGCCCAGAGGCUUCGGUUUCUGGGUUAGUGGCGCACGGGUGCGUAACGCGUAUGCAACCUACCUUCCACAGGGGGAUAGCCCCGGGAAACCGGGAUUAAUACCGCAUAACACAACAGCCUGGCAUCGGGCAAUUGUUAAAGUUUCGGCGGUGGAAGAUGGGCAUGCGUGCCAUUAGCUAGUUGGCGGGGUAAGGGCCCACCAAGGCGACGAUGGCUAGGGGUUCUGAGAGGAUGGUCCCCCACACUGGUACUGAGACACGGACCAGACUCCUACGGGAGGCAGCAGUAGGGAAUAUUGGGCAAUGGCCGCGAGGCUGACCCAGCCAUGCCGCGUGCAGGAAGAAGGCCUUCUGGGUUGUAAACUGCUUUUGUCGGGGAAGAAAACGCCCCUGCGGGGGUAACUGACGGUACCCGACGAAUAAGCACCGGCUAACUCCGUGCCAGCAGCCGCGGUAAUACGGAGGGUGCAAGCGUUGUCCGGAUUUAUUGGGUUUAAAGGGUGCGUAGGCGGCCCGUUAAGUCAGCGGUGAAAUCCCGGGGCUCAACCCCGGAACUGCCGUUGAUACUGGCGGGCUUGAGUUCGGUCGAGGCGGGCGGAACUGGCGGUGUAGCGGUGAAAUGCUUAGAUACC
rnacentral:rRNA from 1 species